UGAUUGAUUGACAUCUUCCUGAGUGUCCUGUUAGCUCUGCUGCACCUGAUAUGGCAGGACAAAUGACACCUUUAUCAUUUUUAUUGGUAGAUAAAGAUUUGUGACCUAAUAAAUUGCUACCUAAGCUCCCAC